AUGAUCAUACUUUAUAGGAUCACUUCUAUAGUGCUAUUGCGGGGUUUCUCACCAUGAUUCUCGGAAUAUGUUCAACCACGAUGAGGACUGUUAGUGUAAUCCUCUGAGCGUGAAGCGGCUCUCAAGUGUGCUUAAGAGUUUUGAUGACUGUUCCGACUCUGUUUAUCGAUGUUCAGAUGAGAAUCAAUGUGUUGC